AGUCCUACAAGUCCUGCUUACUCUCCGACAAGUCCAUCAUAUUCGCCAACUUCUCCCAGCUACAGCCCGACCUCUCCCAGUUAUAGCCCUACAUCUCCUACUUAUAGUCCUACUUCCCCCAGUUACAGCCCAACUUCCCCCAGUUACAGUCCUACUUCGCCAAGCUACAGCCCUACUUCUCCAGUUUACAGUCCGACUUCCCCAGCCUACAGUCCAACAUCUCCUGCCUACAGCCCAACCUCACCAUCCUAUAGUCCAACAUCACCUUCCUAUAGUCCGACAUCACCUUCAUAUAGCCCAACAUCACCUUCAUAUAGCCCGACUUCACCAUCAUACAGUCCUACCUCACCUGCCUAUAGCCCAACUUCUCCGGGAUACAGUCCAACAUCUCCUAGCUAUAGUCCUACAUCCCCAAGUUAUAGCCCCACAUCUCCAAGUUACAAUCCUGCCUCAGCAAAGUACAGUCCUUCGCUUGCUUAUUCUCCAAGCAGUCCAAGG
rnacentral:lncRNA from 1 species